UUGGGGUGGGGGUGGAGAGUAGUUCUGGGAAAUGUUUUCCCUCUCUUAAGAAGAACUCUUUUCUUCCUCUGGACAUCAUGACUUUAGGAUAUGAUACCUGGAACUGCAAUUACCAUCUUGCUAUUAUUAGCUGGAGAAGGAUGCCAGCACCCAAAGACAAUCAGAGCAGAGAUGGCAACAACCUGGUUUUUGAUAUUAUCAAGCUCCUGACUUUUUCAAACCUGAAGUUUACUCUGCUUUGUAUUUCCAGAUUGAGUCCUGUGGGUAAUAGCCACUGAAUACUUUUUGGAUCACUAAAUAUGGAAAUCACAUUUACCAAAUAUGUAAGUAAGGGUUCCUAACUAUUUUGGUUCCAAAUUCAAGGAGAUUAAAUACGGAGAAGGAAAAGCUGAAUGACCAACGUUCCUGUUACUGAGAAAUAGAUGGCUCAUUCCAUGUCAAAGGAUGUAUCUAUUCCUCUAUCUCUACCUGCCCAUUCACAACAUUCCUUCCCUUGGUUAAGCAGGGGAUUGUCUG
rnacentral:lncRNA from 1 species